rnacentral:misc_RNA from 1 species
CAUUUUAAAUUCGAUUAUAUACUACUCAAAUAUAUUCUAUUAUGAUUCGAUCGAAUCAAAUACCUACAAAAUAUUUGACCUAUUGUGUGGUGUCUACCAUAUAUAGAACAUCUUGUUAGAUAAAUAAUACUAAAUAAUUACUUGAUAGUUUUAAUUUUGGUGGGUUUACUUAUUAGUUUACUAUCUCAUAUACACGACAUGCACUAUAUAAUUACUCCACCUCUCGAUUGUGAAUGCAAGGUAACCAUGCAUAGACAAUCUAUCUUAUUCCAAUAUGGCAUUCAUCUACACGUCCACCUGGCCAAUCCAGGCACCACACACCAAUCCUAAGGCCUAGUUCCAAAACAACCAUGCUUGAUUAGGAGUAAGGUGUCGAUAAAGAAAGCUUCCACUACGACCACCACAAAAACAUUCAUCCCAUGUACCAACCAUACACUUCCUCACACUAACACCGAUUAAAUUUGCCAUUUCAUGCAUUAUUCCGCUAAAGCCUCAACUCUGAUAGAGGCAUUUCAUUUAGCACAGAAAAAUGGGUUGCAGCUCCUCGAAGAGAAUUGAAGCCACUGUUGAUAUCUACCGCCCACCCCCAUCAAGCUUUGCAGUUUUUGAUAUCAACUCCAUACAAGAGCCAUGGCUCUCCGUGGAUAAUUCUGCUCAAGAAAACCAAGAGAAGCCCACCCACCUACCGGCCCCCAUACUCGAGAAGCUCAAAAAGUUGGAAUCCGAUGCUCCUCAUUCUUGGGAAGAGGUUAGCAAAGCCCUAGAGGAGCUCAAUAACAAAAAUUCUAUUGCCGCACCUCUAAGGCCGGGUACCCUGACCACGCCGGCGAAAGUUAGCACCACUAAUGCCGCCUCCGUCACUCCAACCCCAAAAAAGACACAAGCCCCACUUAAGAGCUCAUCUUUUCAUACCCUUGAAGAACUGGACGCGAAACUAUCUUCAAAACCCCAAAAAGAGCUAAGAAAAACCGAGUCCAUGCGCACCGAGUUGAAGAAACCAGAGGCCACAAAGACUGAGUCACGAGUUGUUUUUGAGCCGGCAACCCAGUCAGAGAACGUUAUCAAGCCGGUGAAAGAGAACAUAUUCAUAUUAAGGGAUAGGCUCGAGAGAGAGAAAGAAGGGAAGAUGGCAAACUAUGACAAGAUAAAGAAGGACCCACUGAGUGACUAUCCAGAGAAGUGUCCACCGGGAGGAGCUGACUCAGUGGUUAUCUACACAACGUCGUUACGCGGGGUGCUUAGAACAUACGAGAAUUGCAACCGCUUGCGCGCCUUAUUGGAAGUACACCGAGUGGUGUUCGACGAAAGGGACGUGUCCUUGCAUGGAGAGUUCUUGAAAGAGAUAAGAGAAUUGCUAGGAGAAGAUGCGAGCGUACCGAGGGCUUUUGUGAAAGGAAGGUACAUAGGAGGAGUGGAGGAGGUGCUGAAACUGAACGAGUCAGAUCGACUCGGAAGGAUACUGAGUUGGGCACGUGUGGAGAGAGGGGUGGGGAGACAGGUGUGUGAAGGGUGUGGAGGGGCUAGGUUUGUGCCGUGUUUGGAAUGUGGUGGUAGUUGUAAGGUAUUGGUUGAUGGAGUCAGGGAGAGGUGUGGCAAGUGUAAUGAGAAUGGAUUGGUCCUUUGUCCUGCUUGCCUCUAAUUAAUUGAUAUUGAUGGUAUGUUGUGGAGAUUUUAGUUUGAACUUGGCAUCUUGUGGCUACAAUUGGAUGAAGCAAUGUAUGGGGGUGUGGAGGAGCUUCCAAGUUUGUGUUUGGUGUAUUUUUCAUGUGAUGAUUUUGAAUUUGACAGAUUGAAAGGAAGUGGAUUGAGAAAAUGUAAAUUGUGUAGCUGCAUAUGUAUGUAUGGUGAUUUUGUCUCUCUACUUUCUUAGAGAAAAUUAAGUGAUAUUAAUUAAUUAAUAUAUGGUAACAACCAUUUUAGCUUAUUGUGUGAUCAUAUGCUUUAACAUAUAAAAAGCAAAUUAUUGAAGAAAAUUAAUAUGUAUAUAUACAACAUAUUUAUAAAAAUUAAUAAUUAUA